CGUUCUCUCUUUCAACUCAACAAAAAUUCUAUGCGACAUUUCUAAAAAGAUAAGUCAAAAGAUGAUGACACACAAUUCCAACUUUUCAUAAUGUUAAUGGACAGAUCGGAUACAUUUGUUGAGAACUUGACCACGGACAAGACAACGUCCACGAGUCAGCUCGCUCCAUCCAUCAUACAUAAAGGAAGUGAGGAUGAGAUGGCGGAGGAGGAUCUAUGGCAGCCGGCCGUGCCGCUCUUGUGAUGGCGGGGAGGGAGGUGCACCGUCGUCGUUGCAGCAGUAGCAAACCUCACCGCGAACGAGGUUGCACCGGCCAUGGACGUAGCCGAGGGCCUGGCAACAACGCAUGCACUUGCCGCUCCCCUGCCAGCACUUGACCAUGCACUCCGCCCUCAGCACGUCGCACACCAGCACCGCCGUCGUCGCCGCCUCCACUGCACAUAUGUAUGGAACGAGGUUGAAAAAAAUAAUUAAAUUCAUCCAAGAUUCACCAGUUGGCUCUUAUCGAACACUUACGGGAAGCGAUGAGAAGGAUGGCCAUGAACAACAGUUUCUUGCCCAUCUUGUAUGUGGUUAGUAGUAGAUUCUUCCUCGUCUUGGAUGAUCAGUAGCUGAGUGGACGAUAUGUGGCAAUAUACGUGAUCUAUGGGGCGAGUGAUUUUGGAUUCUUAUGAUAGGUGGUAUUUUUAUAGGAGAGGAUCGGAAAUAAGAUGAGAACGCUUUGAACUCUUCCCAAUUUCAGAAUUUAGAGUAUAUCUCCUUAGAGG
rnacentral:lncRNA from 1 species